rnacentral:rRNA from 1 species
GAGCAUGCGGCAGCUACCAUGCAGUCGAGCGGAAACAAAAGUACUUGCUACUCUGGCGUCGAGCGGCGGACGGGUGAGUAAUGCUUGGGAACAUGCCUUGAGGUGGGGGACAACAGUUGGAAACGACUGCUAAUACCGCAUAAUGUCUACGGACCAAGGGGGGCUUCGGCUCUCGCCUUUAGAUUGGCCCAAGUGGGAUUAGCUAGUUGGUGAGGUAAUGGCUCACCAGGGCGACGAUCCCUAUCUGGUUUGAGAGGAUGAUCACCCACACUGGGACUGAGACACGGCCCACACUCCUACGGGAGGCAGCAGUGGGGAAUAUUGCACAAUGGGCGCAAGCCUGAUGCACCCAUGCCGCGUGUGUGAAGAAGGCCUUCGGGUUGUAAAGCACUUUCAGUCAAGAGGAAAGGUUAGUAGUUAAUACCUGCUAUCUGUGACGUUACUGACAGAAGAAGCACCGGCUAACUCCGUGCCAGCAGCCGCGGUAAUACGGAGGGUGCGAGCGUUAAUCGGAAUUACUGGGCGUAAAGCGUACGCAGGCGGUUUGUUAAGCGAGAUGUGAAAGCCCCGGGCUCAACCUGGGAACUGCAUUUCAAACUGGCAAACUAGAGUGUGAUAGAGGGUGGUAGAAUUUCAGGUGUAGCGGUGAAAUGCGUAGAGAUCUGAAAGAAUACCGAUGGCGAAGGCAGCCACCUGGGUCAACACUGACGCUCAUGUACGAAAGCGUGGGGAGCAAACAAGAUUAUACCCC